ACGGGGCGCAGCAGGGGCGAAAACUUUACAAUGUGCGAAAGCACGAUAAGGGAACUCUGAGUGCCUCCUAUGGAGGCUGUUCAGGUGUCUAAAAAGCACUUGAAGUAAGGGCUGGGUAAGACCGGUGCCAGCCGCCGCGGUAACACCGGCAGCCCAAGUGGUAGCCACGAUUAUUGGGUCUAAAGCGUCCGUAGCCGGCCAGGUAAGUUCUUUGGGAAAUUUAACCGCUCAACGGUUAAGCUUUCAGGGAAUACUGCUUGGCUUGGGACCGGGAGAGGUCAGAGGUACUUCAAGGGUAGGGGUGAAAUCCGUUAAUCCUUGAGGGACCACCAGUAGCGAAGGCGUCUGACCAGACCGGGUCCGACGGUGAGGGACGAAGGCUGGGGUCGCGAACCGGAUUAGAUACCCGGGUAGUCCUAGCUGUAAACGAUGCGGGCCAGGUGUUGGCAUUACUGCGAGUGAUGUCAGUGCCGAAGGGAAGCCGUUAAGCCCGCCAUCUGGGGAGUACGGUCGCAAGGCUGAAACUUAAAGGAAUUGGCGGGGGAGCACCACAACGGGUGGAGCCUGCGGUUCAAUUGGAUUCAACGCCGGGAAACUCACCGGAGGCGACAGCAAGAUGAAGGUCAGGCUGAAGACCUUACCGGAUUAGCUGAGAGGUGGCGCAUGGCCGUCGACAGUUCGUGUCGUGAAACAUCCUGUUAAGUCAGGCAACGGGCGAGACCCGCGCUCACAGUUGCCAGCAUCUCCGUAAGGAGGAUGGGAACUCUGUGAGGACUGCCGCCGCUAAGGUGGAGGAAGAAGCGGGCCACGGUAGGUCAGUAUGCCCCGAAUCCUCCGGGCUACACGCGUGCUACAAUGGAUAGUACAAUGAGUAUCGACCCCGAAAGGGGAAGGUAAACCCCUAAAACUAUCCUUAGUUGGGAUCGAGGGCUGCAACUCGCCCUCGUGAACCUGGGAAUCCGUAGUAAUCGCAUCUCAAAAUGGUGCGGUGAAUAUGUCCCUGCUCUGCACACACGACCGUCAGCCAGCGGACGAUUAGGUGGAGGUCAUGUUUUUUGGCCAUGUUUUUCA
rnacentral:rRNA from 1 species